rnacentral:rRNA from 1 species
AUACGGGAGGCAGCAGUAGGGAAUAUUGCACAAUGGACGCAAGUCUGAUGCAGCAACGCCGCGUGCUCGAUGAAGGCCUUCGGGUUGUAAAGGGCUUUUCGGGGAGAUGAGGAAGGACAGUAUCCCCGGAAGAAGGAUCGGCUAACUACGUGCCAGCAGCCGCGGUAAAACGUAGGAUCCGAGCGUUAUCCGAAUUCACUGGGCGUAAAGCGCAUGCAGGCGGCCGAACAAGUUGGAUGUGAAAGCUCCCGGCUCAACUGGGAGAGGACGUACAAGACUGUUUGGCUCGAGGACGGUAGAGGGAGGUGGAAUUCCCGGUGUAGUGGUGAAAUGCGUAGAUAUCGGGAGGAACACCAGAGGCGAAGGCGGCCUCCUGGACCGGACCUGACGCUCAGAUGCGAAAGCUAGGGGAGCGAACGGGAUUAGAUACCCCGGUAGC